rnacentral:rRNA from 1 species
AUACGGAGGGGGUUAGCGUUGUGCGGAAUUACUGGGCGUAAAGCGCACGUAGGCGGAUUGGAAAGUUGGGGGUGAAAUCCCAGGGCUCAACCCUGGAACUGCCUCCAAAACUAACAGUCUAGAGUUCGAGAGAGGUGAGUGGAAUUCCAAGUGUAGAGGUGAAAUUCGUAGAUAUUUGGAGGAACACCAGUGGCGAAGGCGGCUCACUGGCUCGAUACUGACGCUGAGGUGCGAAAGCGUGGGGAGCAAACAGGAUUAGAAACCCCGGUAGUCC